UUAGGAGCUGAAGUCUGUCUCCCCCAAAAGAUGUUGAAGUCUUAACCCUCAGUACCUGGGAACGUGACCUUAUUUGGAAAUAGAAUCUUUGUAGAUGAUCAAGUUAAGAUGAGGUCAGCCGGAUGGGCCCUAGGCCAAUAUGACUGUGUCCUUAUAAAGAGGGGAAAUCUGGACACAGAGACAGACACAGAGAGAACACCAUGUGAAGAGAAAGGCAGAGGAUGGGCUGAGAGGUCUACAGGCCAAGGAACGCCAAAUAUUGCCAGAAAACCACCAGAAACUAGGAGAGAGGCAUGGAACAGAUUCUUCCUCACACCCUCAGAAGGAACAAAUUCUGCCAAUACCUUGAUCUUGGACUUCCAGCCUCCAAAACUGUAUGGAAACUGAGGCCUGUAGAGAUCGAAUCACUUGUCCAAGGUCAAGUUAAAUUAGAGCUGCUCUGACUCUCUGUGUUCCAAACCCAUGGAUCUCAUGAAUUGGUAACUUUAAAUUUUAGGGAUUGAUACAGAAUUGCCAACUCGUAUGACAGAUAAGAAUGUAAUUUCUAAGACCCAUCAUUCAUAUAUGCAUUUGUUCAAUAAAUAUUUAUUGAUCUCUACUAUGCCCCACACAGUGUCUUAGGGGCUGGGGGCACAGCAAUGAACAAAACCA